CACGCCAUCCUAUUGAACCCACUAGUCUCAUGUCCAACACAUAACCCGACAUCAUCAUCAUCUCCCUCCCCAUUAAUGCCCUCUCUUGCCCCCCAUAUCCGUUUUAACCCCAGAGAGAGAGAGAGAGAGAGAGAGAGGGGAGAGCUUCGUGCUCCGUGCCAUGGCGCCAUGUCCAUUGGGGGUCGCCCUGUUCUGUUCUCUCUCGUCGACCGAAGCGACGACGAAAGCAUGGAGCGAGCAGCUAUUAGCUCGGAAGACGUGAUUUAAAUUCGAUUUGGUACGGGGCGAAGUCAGACGGGCGCUGAGCUGCCUGCGUUUGUUACCGUGCGCACACGCUGCGGUCCUCUCGCCUUAAAGAAAAAAGCUCGAGCCCUUGCAGCGACAAGGUCAGAGGAAUGACUUGUCCCCUUCUCAUUUACUACAACAUUCCCUUUUUCCCUUUUCCUUUAUUAUUAUCAUCACCCCUUUAUUUUUGUCUGGGAAAUUAUAAUAAUGAUAAUGAUAAUAAUAACUGAUCCUGCUUGCA